UUUUCAGAGCCAUGAGAGAGGGAAGCAGGAAGCCAAAGCCAGCCCCUGGGGAGUGAAGGAGGAGAUGCUGGUGCCCCAGCAAAGCCACACACCUUCUCUGAACUUGGUGAGCGCAGAAAUGAGAGUUGGAAUUUUACCUACCACCCACCGAUUCAAGAAGACAACUUGAAGUACCCACUGCCUCCCUCCCCCCGCCCUUUUGAGGGUGUUUUGAGUUGCCAGGGAUAACCUUGGAUUUAGCCUCGUCCCUCAGCCUCCAGAGUUGUGGGACUGCAGUCACGUGCCCCCAAGCCUAUUUUAUAGGACAGUGGCAAAACUUUCGAUAGGCAAACUUUGUAUGGGCUGAGCUGCAGCUGCACCCCACUUUCUUGUUUAUUUUUUUUUUUUUUGUUUUUAGUGAUGUUUUAUUGUUUUUUCUUUUUCCUCCCAGACUGGGUCGCUUUCGCCCUAGCUAACCUUGAAUUCAAGUCAAUCCUCCAGCGUCAGCCUCUCAAGUGCUUGCCCGCAGGUGUGUACCACUCAUGCCCAUUCCAUAAAUGGAACGUUCAGUGACUAUGAGGCACUGGUCACUGCUACCGCUUUAUUCUGCUCAGCCAGCCUCAGCAGCAUCCUGGAGAGACCAGCUCUGCUACUCCGCCUGGAGCCCACCCUCCUGACCUCGAACUUCAGCUACAGAGUGAGACCACACCCUUCCCGUCCACAGGGCAGUGAUGUAAAUGUGGUGUGGAAGAGACUAGGAGGACCUAGCCCAGAGCCUCCUGCAGGGGGAAGUGGCCAUCAAUGGUGGCCUUUAUGGUGGCUGGCCUCGGAUGGGACUGGGAAGGAGUCAGAGCUUGGGAACAGAGGGAGCUAUUGUAUGAGGGAGCGGGGUGCUCCCUGAAGAGAGCAGCAAGAGUCCUCACCCGCCAGACCCUUGCUGGCCCUACUUCAUUAUUUGUAGUGGCAUUCGCCCAUCAGCCUGGGAGUCCGUGGAGGGAACUCUACCAGCACAGCAGCCGCCACAUUUUCCCAUACCCUGGAUUUGCCCGCUUCCAUCCAAGAUUAACCACCUUCCACUGUGCGAACAUUGUCUCAGACAGCAUUCGCGAUGUGGCCUCAGAGCAGAUAAAGGGCUGUUCAUUGUCACUGCAGAAGGAAAUGGGGGAAGGUCCCUCCAGCGUGCCCUGCUAGAGAUGACAACUGGGUGCGCCUCCUCAUUCCGUGACCUCUUGACCUUAGCCACCCGUGGGAGAAUUUACACCAUGGAAAGAGGCCAAUGCCGUAGCCCAGGACAAGCUGCAGAAGCAUUUAUCAGCACAAUCACUGUCCCCAAGGAAUUGGAAAUGGUGACUUGGUCCUGAACACCCCACUUAGGGCAUCAGAUUGGUUUCCUGUGCAGGAGGCCAGGUGUGAGAGAAGGGUUAGGGGGAUAGCACCCUCUACCCUAACAAGCCGAGGGUCCCUACUCCCAAGCCUCAUUUCCUGCCAGCCAGCUGGACCCCGGAUGUUUCUGAGAGCUGACCUUGACCCUCCCUGCUGAUGAAGGCUGGAGCUAUAGUGGAAGGAAAUUCGACACGCCAGGAAUGGCUCCCUCCAAAGGACACAGGCUCAAGAAGCCUUCUGCCCAACCCGGCUGAGGGCAGAACUGGAUCAGAACUGAAUCCUUGAGAUGACUUCUCUCACAGGGGCAGAGACAACUUUGAGUCACUCUGGCUGUCAGACCCUUAUUAAUAUCUGCUAUGUUUGCAGAUUCCAUCUUCGUAAGUCACUUUGUGAUAAAGUGGCUUCCUGCGGCCGGCUCAUCUGGACGCAGUAAUGUUUUCAUUGAUCUGCUGAUGCGUGCAUCCUGCUGCACCGGAUGGAAGGCUGCCUCUAACAGCCGGAUUCUCGGGUAUCAAAUUCCAGGAACAGCUCCAAGGCCAGGCACCUCUGACACUCCCAUUGUCAGUGAGCUCAGCCGUGGGCUGCAGAGGUAGGUCUGUGAAGGCCUUCCAGUACAACCGGCCUCCUACUCCUAGGUGUCCCUUGCCUCUGGACUCUGUGUCCAACACAGUGCCUGGUACCAUAAGGUGCUUUAUUGCCACCAGUGCAGUCAACAUGCAAUAGAUGACAAAUGACUCUGGCUUAGGCAGGAUGGAUGACUUCAAAAUAGUUCACAGACCUCAGAUCACAUUACUGUGAGUCUGUCUGUCUGUCUGUCUGUCUGUCUGUCUGUCUAUCUAUCUAUCUAUCUAUCUAUCUCUCCUUCUCCCUCACCCUCCAUCACCCUCUCUCAUAAGAAAAAAGUAAAAAACAGCUCAUGGAUGUGUUUCUAUACCUGCGUUUGACAAAUGUUUUGUGUGCUAAGAUAGCUCAGCGGUGUGCAGGGGCAGCUUCUAUGGUCUGGAGUGGGGCCUUUCCAGAUUCUGGAUAUGUUCAAGGGGCUACCAGGGCCUGGAUUCUAGAACAAGAAAAGAUGGCUGUGGCUAGUAAGCCCCUCCCACAUGGCUGUGCAUACCAGGAAACAACCCAGGCUUCAUUCUGCUGUGCUCUCUGACUGGUAGACCACUCUCUGUGGUACCACCCUUUGUGGGACAGCAAAGGGUGCCCGUUCUAGCCAGCAUCAGUCAUCUUUCUUCAUUGCUAUGACACCUGACAGACCUGAUUUAAAGGGGGAGAAAUCUAUUUCAGCUCACAGUUUUGAGGGUAAGACCCAGCAGGGCAGGUGAAUCAUGGUAUUGAGAGCUACUCUGUGAUGGCAAGAGCUUACAGCUGCUGCUGCUUCACAUCUUGGUGGACCAGGAAGUAGAACGAAGACCAGUUCCCAAUGACUCAUUCCUGUUAAUCAGCCGAGGGUCACAUUCAAACUAUACCGGUGUAGACCAGUGUCCUAGAACCUUUUGGUUAUGUUUUCUUAUUACUCCAGAAAGUUCUGGAACUUUGUUCUGGGUCCCCAUUGCUAGGGAACAAGCCACCCCCAAACUGGGGAGGUUUGAGAAGACAGAGCAUGCAAGACCUAUUGUGGGGUGAGGCUCUGGUUUAUUCAAAGGUGCACUGUCCCUCCUGAGGUGCUCUCUUCUCUCUCCUUCCUACUGCCUGUCUUGGCAGCAACAGGACAGGGCCAUGCCAGGUUAGCCUCCUGUGACUUUUAGGGCAUGCUAUUCUCAAGGGCUGUGGGACUCUUAACUGCCUGCUUGAGGCUGUGUAAGUCCCAUUGUCCUGGUGAACAAGGGACAAGCUGUGUGACUCCUGGUGACCCAGCCCGGGACUCUGAAAGCAUGCUUUCCUUGGACUUCAUUGGCCAAUGUCAUCAUGGGAGAGCUAGGGAGUCUGUCUCUCUAAGUUUCGUGGCAAAGAAUUGAGCAGUGAUCUGGGUUAGGCAGACAGGAGGAAGUAGGGAAGCCCUUUCCCCUUGGCCGCUUUCUUUUCCUGUCUCCUCUCUCAGUUGGGGCACAUCUCUUAUCCUCAGCUUUUCUGCUCUUGAGAUCCUCGAAUAGGAAGAGCAUCCCCUUUCUGGGGAAGCAAACUCAGAGUGGGGGAUGUCAGACAGUUAGAAACAAUAAGCACUAUAGCACUUGUGCCUCGUGGCCCACCGGGUCCCUGGUACAGAGAUGGGAUCACAAAGUGUGACAAACACUCUUGGCCUGUAGGCUCCCACCCACUGACUUGCGACACUCGGACAAAGACUCAGCUUGACUUGGUGGUAGGAGUAUGUACCUACAGUAUAUACCAGCUACAUGAAAUACUGACCACCAUGCUUAAUACUGAUUGCCAGUGCAAUCUGAUCUUCGCAUGACUUGGGAGGGACUUUCUAGACUGAGUCAAUUGAGGUCAGAAGACCCAUUCUGAAUGUGACUGGCACCGUCCCAUGGGCUGUUUCUAGGCUGACUGAAAAGGAGAAGUCAAGUUGCAUGCCCGAAUUCGUCUCUCCUCAGUGCUUCCUGACGGCAGAUGCAAAGCGUCCAUCCAGCUGCCUCUUUCUGCUACACAGCAUACCUUCCCUGCCGAGAUGGACUGUCCACUCAACAUAUGAGGAAGAGAAGCUCUUUCCCGGCAAGUCGCUUCUAUCAAGAAUUAUAUCGGGGGCUGGAGAGAUGGCUCAGAGGUUAAGAGCACUGUCUGCUCUUCCAGAGGUCCUGAGUUCAAUUCCCAGCAACCACAUGGUGGCUCAUAACCAUCUAUAAUCAGGUCUGGUGCCCUCUUCUGUCUGGCCUGCCGGCAUACAUGCAGGUAGAAAGCUGUAUGAUGUAUACAUAAUAAAUAAAUGUUUAAAAAAAAAGAAUUAUGUCAUAAAGAUAAAAGGCAGGGGAAAAGUGAGGCAGGGGGUUGCUUGAGCCCUGGAAUUAAGGGCUGGGUAACAGAGUGAGACGCUGUCUCAAAAACUAAGCUAAACAAAGGUAGGCAUUUCUUCUAGGCUCCGCCCAACAGGUACCUAGCAAUUGCCAGGUAAGAAAGAGCCCAGCUUGCUAUAAAAGGACUUCCCCUCAUCCUCCCACCCCAGGCCUCUGUCCCCUCUCUUUCCCUGCCUCUACUCCCCUCUUAUCCUGCCUUCCCAUGCCCCCAAAUAAACUUCAUUUUAUACUAGACCUGUGGGAUGUCUGGUGCCUGGGGGGUGGGGAAUACCUCAGCAUGGAUCUGCUAAGGCACCCCCUCCCACCACACCAUGCUGCCACCACUGUAUCAGUGAGCAUUCUAAUGGAUGGGACUUCAAAGAUCACCAAAGCCAGGGCUUUCACACCUUUCCCUCGAAUCUACAGUGCCUUACAGAAACCUCACCUCAGUCUAGCACAUUGGAUGUUGGAUGGAAAGUUGACAGGGGAGGCUGAGAUUUUCUGCUCCUUCCUUGGGGCACCACCACAAAACCAUGAGGAUCCAGGAGACCCAGUUUGAAGACCACCAGUUUGUCCUCUUCAUUCAGAAAGGGAGCAAAGAAGACAGAGGCAAAGACCCCGAGUGAUCUGUCUGAGUUUAUCGUGAGACUCGGUGUCACAGCCAGGUACUGAAUGCAGUCUCUUCUCUCAUGGACCUGUGCCCCUUCCACUGGUAUCAGAGAGAUGACCUCCCAUUCACAGGCAACAGUCCAGAUGACAGUGGUUUCCACCAGCACCGGCCGCUUUGUGCUGCCUUCUGUCCUAGCCGCUUCCCAGCUUGCAGAGGACCCUUGGAAGGGUGACAACUUGCCAAGCCUAUGCCAGGGUUUGAGAGAUUUGUCAGCCCAGGGGUGGGGAGGCUGGCCUUCAUCCAGGUACCAAACAAGGAAUAAAGACAAAAAUUGAACAGCGAGACAGGAGUCAGAGAGACUUCCUAAGAGACCUACAGCCGUGGUCCCAGAUAAAGCAAAGUGAGCCAGAUGUGCAGCAGUGGCCUCUGAGGGGUUUCCAGUCCAGCCACCCUGACAGUGCAUGUGAGGAUUGCACCAGCCACAGGGAGGAAGCAAUACACUGCCGGCAGCCCUCCAAUGUCACCUCCUGGGCAGGUUCCCCUCCCCUCCUGGCUAUGUACUGGGUUCUGUUGUUUGUAUUUCUGCCCAGCAUAUACUUGUAUAAUGCUACCCAGCCCUCUUCAUUCUUGAGGUGUGGAGUCUGUGCUUACCGUAGAUCAAGUCAAAAGGAAGAACAUUGCAAAGUAACAGGCAGCUACAAGCACCAGACCCUCUGGGAAGGAGGCACUUGCUGUAGUCCUGGGAGCCUCCCAAUAGGGUCCCUCAAACCCAGCAAUCCACACCUUCCUCCCCACAGGACAAGGCAGGGAAUGCCUGUGCAAAACUUCCACGUGCCUCACUAGGCCAAAUUUCAGAUACCCAGGACCCCAGAAUUUUGUGUUUCAAAGGCCUAGAACCAUGUUUUCAGAAAGUAGGAGUCUGGUUUUGACUAUGUGUAUUUGAGGGCAGCGGUAGCUCAGGUUGGCCCUGCCAUGUAGCUGAAGCUCACUUUGAACUCCUGAUCUUUCUGCUUCUAUCUCCCACAUAGUGGGAUUAUAGGUGUGUCCUACCAUACCUGACUAGAUUUGUGUGAGUGCUAGGAUUUGAACUCAGGGCCUUAGGCAUGGCAGGCAGACACUCUACCACUAAGCUACACACUUCCAACCAGAAGGUUUUUGGUUUUGUUUUUUUUCUUUUUGAGAAAGCUUCUGGCCAUUAUAGAGCAGGCUGGAUUUGUGCUUCUGCCUCUGCCUCCGGCUCCAUAGUGUUGGAAUUGUAAGACGGGUCACCGGUCCCGGCCAUGGGAACCUUUUGCUGGCCUUAGGUGACCUGUUGUCACUGAUAAUGUGUCAGUGUGACCUAGAGGGAGAAUGAGGAAGAGCCAGUAAGCAAUGGGAUUUAUGCAACUGGACAUCGGACAGUCAGCUUCAGUGUCUGGGGUGGCCUCAGAGGCCUUUGUUUGGUGGCGGUUGGAGCACAGACAGGAAGAGGAUGAGAAACGGUCAGAGAUCAGAAGUCCCACUUGUCUUCUUGUCUCCAGCCACUUCCCACAGCAGCCAGGGAAGGCUCUUAGAAUAAAAGAACUGUUUGGACGGAGAUGAUUAUUAUUAUUUAUUUAUUUAUUUUUUAUUAGUUGGUCCCAGUGGUGCACACUCGUGGUCCCAGCUACUCAGCCUAGAAGACCGUGAGCCCAGAAGUUCAAGGUCAAUCCAGGCAAUGUUGUAAGACAAUGUCUCGAAACAACAAAGUCUCUCUUCACUUGGAGAGAGGAACAGUACCUAAAGUAGAAAAGUAUGGCCGGAGCUUUGCAGCCCGAGUCUCAGUCUAGCAUGGCCACCUUCUAGAUGCAUGGUGUCACACAGGUUACUUAGUUUCUUUUAGCCUGUUCCUGUUUCCAUUUAGAGAGCAGUAAUGAUUUCUAAGAUUGCUUUGAACAUCAGAUCACUGGAAAGGGUCUGAUGCAUGGAAGCAAUGUAAUAAUACACGCCUAUUUCUGUCCCAGCUUUUGAAAUCUUGUCUUCCCCACACAAGUUCCAAAGUUUUGGAUUCAUCCCUCAGAAAUUGGGUUUAGGGAAUGUAAGGAGCCAGCCCAGGUCUGCUUUGCUGUGUGGCUGGGAAGCCUCGGGUGUAGAAAGCAGAGAGGUGGAAAUGGAACCCCAGGUGGUCCAUUUUGCUGCAAGAUGCAGUGAGGGGAACAUGCAUGUUCCAUGUCCAACUUGGCACUCAACAGAAUGGAUUAAACUCAAGCUCAUCAGUAGCUCAGCCUCAUCCAGAGAAAUCAAUAAGGGCUUCCCUGUGUUGUGCAAUGUGUGAGUUCC